UUUAUUGAAUAAUAAAAUUAUAUUAUUAAAUGUAAAAUCAUUAAAAUAAAAAAAUAUGGCGGUUUUUCAUUCAAAUUAGGGGAAUCUGUUUAUUAAAUUGAUAAUCCACAAGAAGAAUUACUUUUUUAACUUUUAUAUAUCGCCAUUUUUAGAAUAUUAAAUAAAUAAUAUUUAUUUAUUUUUAAUAAUUUAAAUUUUUAAAAUUAAAUUUAGGUCAACAUGUAGAGUAAAAAAGGUAUUAUGGAUUACAAUAGAGUUUAAUAAUUUAUUAUAAAUUUAAUAAAUUUAGAGUAUUUUAAAAUUAAAUUUUUAUAUAUUAAAUAGGAUUUAAAAGUAAAAUUAAUUAAUUUAUUAAUUUGAAUAUUGUAUUGAAAAAUGU
rnacentral:rRNA from 1 species